AAAUUGAGAACAACAAUUAUAUAACAUAUUUUUAGCGAAUCGAUGAUAGUGGGAAAUCGAUAAUCACUGUUAUGUAAUUUAUCCUCUCAAUAAGUUAAUUAAACUGAACUAUUAAGUAAGUUUAAUCGGAAUCAUCUCCGUUACCAUGAUGAUUGAGUGAUAGAUAAAAGUAAAAGACUAGUGUCUGUCUAAAUUUGGGUGGUAACGCGAAGACUUCGUCCCUUGU
rnacentral:ncRNA from 1 species